GUAAAUUUGAUGAGUUGAUUGAAGAGAAGGGAGUAAAAAUACUUAUUGAUCCUAAGGCAUUGAUGCACGUGAUUGGUACCAAGAUGGAUUUUGUAGAUGAUAAAUUGAGGUCUGAGUUCAUUUUUAUUAAUCCCAACUCGAAAGGGCAAUGCGGUUGUGGUGAGUCUUUCAUGACAACAGCCAGUAAAGGUGCUGAAAAGUGAGAUGAUUUUAAUGAGACAUGAUGUUUAUAAUGUACUCAUUAGGUAGGCGAACAAUGAAAUAAAGAUUUAUUCCCAGAAUUAA
rnacentral:misc_RNA from 1 species